AUGUGAUUCGACAGCUUACAUACUAAAACUGGAAAGAUGUGGCGAUUAUCAUGGUCUCUGGGCAAGAAUGACAAGCAAAUUCAUGCAGCAACCAAUACUUUU
ensembl:snRNA U6 U6 spliceosomal RNA